CUUGGUCAUUUAGAGGAAGUAAAAGUCGUAACAAGGUCUCCGUUGGUGAACCAGCGGAGGGAUCAUUACCGAGUUUACAACUCCCAAACCCCUGUGAACAUACCACUUGUUGCCUCGGCGGAUCAGCCCGCUCCCGGUAAAACGGGACGGCCCGCCAGAGGACCCCUAAACUCUGUUUCUAUAUGUAACUUCUGAGUAAAACCAUAAAUAAAUCAAAACUUUCACCAACGGAUCUCUUGGUUCUGGCAUCGAUGAAGAACGCAGCAAAAUGCGAUAAGUAAUGUGAAUUGCAGAAUUCAGUGAAUCAUCGAAUCUUUGAACGCACAUUGCGCCCGCCAGUAUUCUGGCGGGCAUGCCUGUUCGAGCGUCAUUUCAACCCUCAAGCACAGCUUGGUGUUGGGACUCGCGUUAAUUCGCGUUCCUCAAAUUGAUUGGCGGUCACGUCGAGCUUCCAUAGCGUAGUAGUAAAACCCUCGUUACUGGUAAUCGUCGCGGCCACGCCGUUAAACCCCAACUUCUGAAUGUUGACCUCGGAUCAGGUAGGAAUACCCGCUGAACUUAAGCAUAUCAAUAAGCGGAGGA
rnacentral:rRNA from 1 species